GGCGAACGUUAGCGGCAGGCCUAACACAUGCAAGUCGCGCGAGAAUGGGGCUUCGGCUCCUAGUAAAGCGGCGGACGGGUGAGUAACACGUGGAUAAUCUGCCCUUCGGCGGGGGACAACAGUCCGAAAGGAUUGCUAAUACCGCGUAAGUCGGCGAGGUCUUCGGAUCUUGUCGGGAAAGAUGGCCUCUUCAUGAAAGCUAUCACCGAAGGAUGAGUCCGCGUCCCAUCAGCAGUUGGCGGUGUAAGAGACCACCAAGGCUAAGACGGGUAGCUGGUCUGAGAGGAUGAUCAGCCACACUGGAACUGAGACACGGUCCAGACUCCUACGGGAGGCAGCAGUGGGAAUAUUGGACAAUGGGGCAACCCUGAUCCAGCGACGCCGCGUGGGUGAAGAAGGCCUGCGGGUUGUAAAGCCCUUUCGGUGGGAAGAAAGUCUCGACCUAAUACGUCGGGACCUUGACGUAACCCACUAAAGAAGCACCGGCUAACUCUGUGCCAGCCGCCG
rnacentral:rRNA from 1 species